rnacentral:rRNA from 1 species
CCUACGGGAGGCAGCAGUGAGGAAUAUUGGUCAAUGGUCGGGAGACUGAACCAGCCAAGCCGCGUGAGGGAUGAAGGUACAGAGUAUCGUAAACCUCUUUUGUCAGGGAACAAAGGCGGGGACGUGUCCCCGGAUGAGUGUACCUGAAGAAAAAGCAUCGGCUAACUCCGUGCCAGCAGCCGCGGUAAUACGGAGGAUGCGAGCGUUAUCCGGUUUUAGUGGGUUUAAAGGGUGCGCAGGCGGUCUGUUAAGUCAGCGGUCAAAGCCCGGGGCUCAACCCCGACCCGCCGUUGAAACUGGCAGUCUCGAGUUGGAGAGAAGUAUGCGGAAUGCGCGGUGUAGCGGUGAAAUGCAUAGAUAUCGCGCAGAACUCCGAUUGCGAAGGCAGCAUGCCGGCUCCACACUGACGCUGAGGCACGAAAGCGUGGGUAUCGAACAGGAUUAGAUACCCUGGUAGUC